CCUACGGGAGGCAGCAGUGAGGAAUAUUGGUCAAUGGACGAGAGUCUGAACCAGCCAAGUAGCGUGAAGGAUGACUGCCCUAUGGGUUGUAAACUUCUUUUAUAAAGGAAUAAAACGAGGCACGUGUGCCUUUUUGCAUGUACUUUAUGAAUAAGGAUCGGGUAACUCCGUGCCAGCCACCGCGGUAAUACGGCGGAUCCGAGAGUUAUCCGGAUUUAUUGGGUUUAAAGGGGGCGUAGAUGGGUUGUUAAGUCAGUUGUGAAAGUUUGUGGCUCAAACGUAAAAUUGCAAUUGAUACUGGCAGUCUUGAGUACAGUUGAGGUAGGCGGAAUGCGUGGUGUAGCGGUGAAAUGCUUAGAUAUCACGAAGAACCCCGAUUGCGAAGGCAGCUUACUAAACUGUGACUGACAUUGAUGCUCGAAAGUGUGGGUAUCAAACAGGAUUAGAUACCCCUGUAGUC
rnacentral:rRNA from 1 species